rnacentral:lncRNA from 1 species
UUGUUUCAUACCUGAGCUAUUUGGUCUUGAUUAGCACUCGGGGACCCUCCGUGCCGUUGAUAUUCCGUGAUUUUUAGCAUUAUCCGGUUAUUAUAUAAGGAAUCCAAAGCAAUCUCAGCAUGUGUGCUGUCUUGAGAUGAUUGUUGAUGCAUGCUACAUUUAGGAUGGACUCGUGCCUUAGCAACUUUAAAACUUGGAAGAUCAUAGUUGUACUUAUGUGAUUGUAAUAGAACAACGAGUUCAUUUAAUCAAUAAAACAAUAUUUAAAUUUCCAUGUGUUAUGAAACAAUGAUUCUGUUACAACACUCCCCGACGUUUCCGCCACGUUUUGUAUGUUCUACGUGGUCGGGGUGU